GAUGAAGAACGUAGCGAAAUGCGAUAAGUAAUGCGAAUUGCAGAAUUCAGUGAGUCAUCGAAUCUUUGAACGCACAUUGCGCCCUGUGGUAUUCCGCAGGGCAUGCCUGUUCGAGCGUCAUUUCAACCCUCAAGCCUCGCUUGGUGUUGGGCCCUGCCCGCCGCGGCCGGCCCUAAAGAUAGUGGCGGCGCCGCCUGGCCCUCAGCGUAGUAUAGCUCUCGCUCCAGGGUCCGGCGGCAGCCUGCCAGAACCCCCCAACUCUGUGGUUGACCUCGGAUCAGGUAGGGAUACCCGCUGAACUUAAGCAUAUCAAUAAGCGGAGGA
rnacentral:misc_RNA from 1 species